GAUGAACGCUAGCGGCAGGCUUAAUACAUGCAAGUCGUGGGGCAGCAUGAGUAGCAAUACUUGAUGGCGACCGGCAAACGGGUGAGGAACACGUACACAACCUUCCUUCAAGCGGGGAAUAGCCCAGAGAAAUUUGGAUUAAUACCCCAUAAUAUAUUUGAUAAGGCAUCUUAUUAAUAUUAAAGCUUCGGCACUUGAUGAUGGGUGUGCGGCUGAUUAGAUAGUUGGCGGGUAACGGCCCACCAAGUCUACGAUCAGUAGCUGAUGUGAGAGCAUGAUCAGCCACACGGGCACUGAGACACGGGCCCGACUCCUACGGGAGGCAGCAGUAAGGAUAUUGGACAAUGGACGAAAGUCUGAUCCAGCCAUGCCGCGUGAAGGAUUAAGGUCCUCUGGAUUGUAAACUUCUUUAUAUGGGACGAAAAAGGGCAUUCUUGUUCACUUGACGGUACCAUAUGAAUAAGCACCGGCUAACUCCGUGCCAG
rnacentral:rRNA from 1 species